UAUAAAAGGAAAUAAAGAAAAAAAAAAGAAUAGAAAUAGAAACAGAAUAGGCAAAACGAAAAGCAGGGAAAGAAAGAAAGAAAGGAGAAAAGAAAGAAGAAAGGGAAAAUUAAGGUUUGAAGCUUGAGGUUUAAAUAGGACUGGGAGAGUGGAGAGGAUAAGGAGGAUGAGGCUGUGAGUGAACUUCCCUGGAACUGAUCAUCUGCUGGAACCUUACCUGCAAUGCUACUGUGUCUUUUCUUUGCGUGGAGCAGCAACACUGCAGCAGUUGUAGUUUUAGCAAAAGAUUUGAGUUGCCUAACGGAUACCUAGCCACCUUCAAGAGCAUAAUAAGGGAAGGCCGAUGUGAUUUAUUUCGGGGGUUUUCAAGGUAUUCAUUCGAAUAUACUAUUAAAUAAUUUUUACAAGCACAUUAUAAAAUUAGACGUUUUAAAAUUAUUUCAUAUCUAAAGUAAAGAUCGAACUCUUGACUACUAAUAACAAUAAGGUUGUUUUUUAAUAUAAAUAUAUAUUGUUUAUAUGAAAUAAGAGUUUAAAUUUAAAUUCAACUAA